UACAGAGGGUGCAAGCGUUGUUCGGAAUUAUUGGGCGUAAAGGGCGCGUAGCGGUGCUGCAAGUCUGUAGUGAAAUCUCUGGGCUCAAACUCAGAGUCUGCUAUAGAAACUGCAGUCGCUGGAGUGCGGCAGAGGGAGGUGGAAUUCCACGUGUAGCAGUGAAAUGCGUAGAGAUGUGGAGGAACACCGGAUGGCCUCGAAGGGCAGCCUCCUGGGCCAGCACUGACGCUCAUGCACGAAAGACGGUGGGGGAGCAAACAAGGG
rnacentral:rRNA from 1 species